rnacentral:tRNA from 1 species
GGGGAUAUAGCUCAGCUGGGAGACGCGCCUGCCUUGCACGCAGGAGGUCAGCGGUUCGAUCCCGCUUAUCUCCACCA